AGCGGAGGGAUCAUUGCUGGAACGCGCUUCGGCGCACCCAGAAACCCUUUGUGAACUUAUACCUAUUGUUGCCUCGGCGCAGGCCGGCCUCUUCACUGAGGCCCCCUGGAAACAGGGAGCAGCCCGCCGGCGGCCAACCAAACUCUUGUUUCUACAGUGAAUCUCUGAGUAAAAAACAUAAAUGAAUCAAAACUUUCAACAACGGAUCUCUUGGUUCUGGCAUCGAUGAAGAACGCAGCGAAAUGCGAUAAGUAAUGUGAAUUGCAGAAUUCAGUGAAUCAUCGAAUCUUUGAACGCACAUUGCGCCCUCUGGUAUUCCGGAGGGCAUGCCUGUUCGAGCGUCAUUUCAACCCUCAAGCCUGGCUUGGUGAUGGGGCACUGCCUGUAAUAGGGCAGGCCCUGAAAUCUAGUGGCGAGCUCGCCAGGACCCCGAGCGUAGUAGUUAUAUCUCGCUCUGGAAGGCCCUGGCGGUGCCCUGCCGUUAAACCCCCAACUUCUGAAAAUUUGACCUCGGAUCAGGUAGGAAUACCCGCUGAACUUAAGCAUAU
rnacentral:rRNA from 1 species